rnacentral:rRNA from 1 species
GAUGAACGCUAGCGGCAGGCUUAAUACAUGCAAGUCGAGGGGCAGCAGGUCCCGCAGCAAUGCGGGAUGCUGGCGACCGGCAAACGGGUGCGGAACACGUACAGAACCUUCCUUUAAGUGGGGAAUAGCCCGGGGAAACCCGGAUUAAUACCCCGUAACAUAAUGAAGUGGCAUCACUUUAUUAUUAUAGCAGCAAUGCGCUUGAAGAUGGCUGUGCGGCUGAUUAGGUAGUUGGCGGGGUAACGGCCCACCAAGCCUACGAUCAGUAACUGGUGUGAGAGCACGACCAGUCACACGGGCACUGAGACACGGUCCCGACUCCUACGGGAGGCAGCAGUAAGGAAUAUUGGGCAAUGGACGCAAGUUUGACCCAGCCAUGCCGCGUGGAGGAUGAAGGUCCUCUGGAUUGUAAACUUCUUUUAUCUGGGAAGAAAUCUAUUUUUUCUAAAGUAGUUGACGGUACCAGAUGAAUAAGCACCGGCUAACUCCGUGCCAGCAGCCGCCGUAA